rnacentral:rRNA from 1 species
CCUACGGGAGGCAGCAGUGAGGAAUAUUGGUCAAUGGGCGGAAGCCUGAACCAGCCAAGUCGCGUGAGGGAUUAAGGCCCUGCGGGUCGUAAACCUCUUUUGCCGGGGAGCAGAGGUCCGGACGUGUCCGGGCCGGGAGAGUACCCGGAGAAAAAGCAUCGGCUAACUCCGUGCCAGCAGCCGCGGGAAUACGGGGGAUGCGAGCGUUAUCCGGAUUGAUUGGGUGUACAGGGUGCGUAGGCGGGCAUUUAAGCCGGCGGUCAAAUGUCGGGGCUCAACCCCGGCCUGCCGUCGGAACUGGGUGCCUUGAGUGGGCGAGAAGUAUGCCGAAUGAGUGGUGUAGCGGUGAAAUGCAUAGAUAUCACGCAGAACCCCGAUUGCGAAGGCAGCAUACCGGCGCCCUACUGACGCUGAGGCACGAAAGUGCGGGUAUCGAACAGGAUUAGAUACCCUAGUAGUC